rnacentral:rRNA from 1 species
GCACCCGCGGUAAUUCCAGCUCCAAUAGCGUAUAUUAAAGUUGUUGCAGUUAAAAAGCUCGUAGUUGAACUUCUGUACAGUCUCACUUCUGGCUUCGGCCAAGGUGUUGGCUGUGCAUCCGCUUGCAAAGCUGGUUCGGCCUUAACUGGUCGGCUAGUAGAGUAAGCCCUUUACUUUGAAAAAAUUAGAGUGUUUCAGGCAGGCAAUGGCUCGAAUACAUUAGCAUGGAAUAAUGGAAUAGGACUUUUGUCCAUUUGGUUGGUUCUUGGACUUAAGUAAUGAUUAAAAGGGACAGUUGGGGGCAUUGGUAUUUAACAGUCAGAGGUGAAAUUCUUGGAUUUGUUAAAGACUAACUUAUGCGAAAGCAUUUGCCAAGGAUGUUUUCAUUAAUCAAGAACGAAAGU